GGAGAGAUGGCUGAGUGA
rnacentral:tRNA from 1 species